UACGUAGGGUGCAAGCGUUGUCCGGAAUUAUUGGGCGUAAAGAGCUCGUAGGUGGCCUGUCGCGUCGGCUGUGAAAACUCGGGGCUCAACUCCGAGCUUGCAGUCGAUACGGGCAGGCUAGAGUUCGGCAGGGGAGAAUGGAAUUCCCGGUGUAGCGGUGAAAUGCGCAGAUAUCGGGAGGAACACCGGUGGCGAAGGCGGUUCUCUGGGCCUGUACUGACGCUGAGGAGCGAAAGCGUGGGGAGCGAACAGG
rnacentral:rRNA from 1 species